rnacentral:rRNA from 1 species
UACAGAGGGUGCGAGCGUUAAUCGGAAUUACUGGGCGUAAAGCGUGCGUAGACGGUUAUUUAAGUCAGGUGUGAAAGCCCCGGGCUCAACCUGGGAAUUGCAUUUGAGACUGAAUAGCUAGGGUGCGGAAGAGGGAAGCGGAAUUUCCGGUGUAGCGGUGAAAUGCGUAGAUAUCAGGAAGAACACCCGUGGCGAAGGCGGCUCUCUGGGACGGUACUGACGCUGAGACGCGAAAGCGUGGGGAGCGAACAGG